rnacentral:rRNA from 1 species
GAUGAACGCUGGCGGCGUGCCUAAUACAUGCAAGUCGAGCGAACAGACGAUGAGCUUGCUCCUCUGACGUUAGCGGCGGACGGGUGAGUAACACGUGGAUAACCUACCUAUAAGACUGGGAUAACUUCGGGAAACCGGAGCUAAUACCGGAUAAUAUAUUGAACCGCAUGGUUCAAUAGUUAAAGACGGUUUUGCUGUCACUUAUAGAUGGAUCCGCGCCGCAUUAGCUAGUUGGUAAGGUAACGGCUUACCAAGGCGACGAUGCGUAGCCGACCUGAGAGGGUGAUCGGCCACACUGGAACUGAGACACGGUCCAGACUCCUACGGGAGGCAGCAGUAGGGAAUCUUCCGCAAUGGGCGAAAGCAUGACGGAGCAACGCCGCGUGAGUGAUGAAGGUCUUCGGAUCGUAAAACUCUGUUAUUAGGGAAGAAAAAAUGUGUAAGUAACUAUGCACGUAUUGACGGUACCUAAUCAGAAAGCCACGGCUAACUACGUG